rnacentral:rRNA from 1 species
UACGAAGGGGGCUAGCGUUGUUCGGAAUCACUGGGCGUAAAGCGCACGUAGGCGGAUCUUUAAGUCAGAGGUGAAAUCCCAAGGCUCAACCUUGGAACUGCCUUUGAUACUGGGGAUCUUGAGUCCGGGAGAGGUGAGUGGAACUGCGAGUGUAGAGGUGAAAUUCGUAGAUAUUCGCAAGAACACCAGUGGCGAAGGCGGCUCACUGGCUGAACACUGACGCUAAAGCGCGAAAGCGUGGGGAGCAAACAGG